rnacentral:rRNA from 1 species
UACGAAGGGGGCUAGCAUUGCUCGGAAUCACUGGGCGUAAAGCGCACGUAGGCGGAUUGCUAAGUCAGGGGUGAAAUCCUGGAGCUCAACUCCAGAACUGCCUUUGAUACUGGCGAUCUUGAGUCCGGGAGAGGUGAGUGGAACUGCGAGUGUAGAGGUGAAAUUCGUAGAUAUUCGCAAGAACACCAGUGGCGAAGGCGGCUCACUGGCCCGGUACUGACGCUGAGGUGCGAAAGCGUGGGGAGCAAACAGG